rnacentral:rRNA from 1 species
AGGACGAACGCUGGCGGCGUAGCUUAACACGAUGGCAAGUCGAACGAGGAUAAUGGAAGCUUGCUUUGAUAUCGAGUGGCGGACGGGUGAGUAACGCGUGAAUAAUCUGUACUCACGACAGGGGGGAUAACGCAUCGAAAGAUGUGCUAAUACCGCGUAGGACCACGAUGUCGCAUGGCAUUGAGGUGAAAGGAGCAAUCCAGUGUGAGGUGAGUUCGCGUCUGAUUAGGAUAGUUGGUGCGGUAACGGCGCACCAAGUCAACGAUCAGUAGCCGACCUGAGAGGGUGAUCGGCCACAUUGGGACUGAGACACGGCCCAGACUCCUACGGGAGGCAGCAGUGGGGAACAUUGGGCAAUGGGCGAAAGCCCUGACCCAGCAACGCCGCGUGAAGGAAGAAGGUUUUCGGAUCGUAAACCUCUGUCCUUGGUGAAGAGGAAGAGACGGUAGCCAAGGAGGAAGCCCCGGCUAACUACGUGCCAGCAGCCGC